UAGGGAAUCUUCGGCAAUGGGGGCAACCCUGACCGAGCAACGCCGCGUGAGUGAAGAAGGUUUUCGGAUCGUAAAGCUCUGUUGUAAGUCAAGAACGGGUGUGAGAGUGGAAAGUUCACACUGUGACGGUAGCUUACCAGAAAGGGACGGCUAACUACGUGCCAGCAGCCGCGGUAAUACGUAGGUCCCGAGCGUUGUCCGGAUUUAUUGGGCGUAAAGCGAGCGCAGGCGGUUUGAUAAGUCUGAAGUUAAAGGCUGUGGCUCAACCAUAGUUCGCUUUGGAAACUGUCAAACUUGAGUGCAGAAGGGGAGAGUGGAAUUCCAUGUGUAGCGGUGAAAUGCGUAGAUAUAUGGAGGAACACCGGUGGCGAAAGCGGCUCUCUGGUCUGUAACUGACGCUGAGGCUCGAAAGCGUGGGGAGCGAACAGGAUUAGAUACCCUGGUAGUCCACGCCGUAAACGAUGAGUGCUAGGUGUUGGAUCCUUUCCGGGAUUCAGUGCCGCAGCUAACGCAUUAAGCACUCCGCCUGGGGGAGUACGACCGCAAGGUUGAAACUCUAAAGUGAAUUGAC
rnacentral:rRNA from 1 species